rnacentral:rRNA from 1 species
AUACAGGAGGGUGCGAGCGUUAAUCGGAAUUACUGGGCGUAAAGCGUGCGUAGACGGUUAUUUAAGUCGGAUGUGAAAGCCCGGGCUCAACCUGGGAAUUGCAUUCGAGACUGAAUAGCUAGGGUGGCGGUAGAGGGAAGCGGAAUUUCCGGUGUAGCGGUGAAAUGCGUAGAUAUCGGAAAGGAACAUCAGUGGCGAAAGCGGCUUCCUGGACCAGCACCGACGUCAGGCACGAAAGCGUGGG